rnacentral:miRNA from 1 species
CGGUUUAAUUGGAUGGAA